GAAUGCAUCAAGCUGUUGUUCUUGGAUCUCCAUUUUACUUGGAUAACUGUGGUAAUUCUAGAGCUAAUACAUGCGACUAAGCGCCGAACUCACGUGACGCGUGCAUUUAUUAGAACAAAACCAUCCGGCUUCGGCCGUUCUUUGGUGACUCUGAAUAACUCAGCUGAUCACACGGUCUAGUACCGGUGACGUAUCUUUCAAGUGUCUACCUUAUCAACUUUCGAUGGUAGUUUAUGUGCCUACCAUGGUUGUAACGGGUAACGGAGAAUCAGGGUUUGACUCCGGAGAGGGAGCCUGAGAAACGGCUACCACUUCUAAGGAAGGCAGCAGGCGCGCAAAUUACCCAUUCUCGGCAUGAGGAGGUAGUGACGAAAAAUACCGAGGCGAUGCCCAUUCGGGUGUCGUCAUUGGAAUGAGAAAAAUAUAAAUCUUUUAACGAGGAUCUAGUGGAGGGCAAGUCUGGUGCCAGCAGCCGCGGUAAUUCCAGCUCCGCAAGUGUAUAUCUAUGCUGCUGCGGUUAAAAAGCUCGUAGUUUGAUUCGCGUACUUAGCACGCAGUGUGGCCUGACGGCUACUACUGUGAUGCGGUACAUUAUCGUUGGUUUGUCGUUGAUGCUCUUAAUCGGGUGUUAGCGGCUGCUGACAAGUUUACUUUGAACAAAUUAAAGUGCUCAAUACAGGCGUUUCGCUUGUAUAGUUCUGCAUGGAAUAAUAGAAUAGGACUUACGUUCUAUUUUGUUGGUUUUCGGAACGAAAGUAAUGAUUAAGAGGGACAGACGGGGGCAUUCGUACUGCGACGUUAGAGGUGAAAUUNNNGGAUCGUCGCAAGACGGACUACUGCGAAAGCAUUUGCCAAGAAUGUUUCAUUAAUCAAGAACGAAGUUAUGGGUUCGAAGGCGAUCAGAUACCGCC
rnacentral:rRNA from 1 species